rnacentral:snRNA from 1 species
UCACUCUGGUUUUCCUUCAUAUCGAGUAAAUCUUUCGCCUUUUACUAAUGAUUUCCGUGGAGGAGAGCACUCUUUUGUUACUUUGUCUUUUAUUACUGUUAUUUUUCGAAGCCUGAACGCGCGCUUUGGUU